rnacentral:lncRNA from 10 species
UUUUGUGGUGUUCAUCUAUAUUUAAAUGAAGGAUACGAAUCAUCAUUGUAAUGGCAACUUUAGCUGUCAGGGAUCCUGUUGCAGCUCUGCCUCAGCCAGUCUGUGCACAGAGCAUGGAGCACCAGGGCCAUGGAGCAUGUGGGCUAUGGAAUCGGGUUGCCUAUUUUCAUCUUGACUCCAUCACUUGCUGGGCAACCUUGAGUAAGUGUCUUCUAAGUAGAAGAUGAAGGAUGCUUUGCAGGUGACUCGGACUCAAACCUUUCAAAUAUUUUGAGUGGUUGGAAAGAAGAAACACAAAACAAUUCUAUUUUCUGAGUUUUAAAAAUGUCUGAACCCCUGGAAGACCCAGCCAGACCAAAUCUGCUUUUUCUCCUGGAUCCAUAAUGUACAGUGGU